rnacentral:rRNA from 1 species
UACGUAGGGUGCGAGCGUUGUCCGGAAUUAUUGGGCGUAAAGGGCUCGUAGGCGGUUUGUCGCGUCGGGAGUGAAAACCAGGUGCUUAACACCUGGCUUGCUUUCGAUACGGGCAGACUAGAGGCAUGCAGGGGAGAACGGAAUUCCUGGUGUAGCGGUGAAAUGCGUAGAUAUCUGGAGGAAUACCGGUGGCGAAGGCGGCAUCCUGGACCGACAUUGACGCUGAGGAGCGAAAGCUAGGGGAGCAAACGGG